rnacentral:tRNA from 1 species
CCGGUAGCUCAGAGGAUAGAGCGCUUUCCGGCGAGCUUCGGCUCGUCGGGUACAGCAAUCGCCCGUUCCCGGAUCGUGUCCCCUAGCCACCGCCGGUGGUGAGGAGCGCUGUUACUUCGGAUCGCAAUGUCGAAGGUUCGACUCCUUCCGGACGAA